GACGAACGCUGGCGGCGUGCCUAAUACAUGCAAGUAGGACGCAGUUGCGAACGGGUGAGUAACGCGUAGGUAACUACCUAUUAGAGGGGGAUAACUAUUGGAAACGAUAGCUAAUACCGCAUACUAGUAGAUGGACCUGCGUUGUAUUAGCUAGUGGGUAGGGUAAUGGCCUACCUAGGCAACGAUACAUAGCAGACCUGAUGUGGUGAUCGGCGAGACUGGGACUGAGACACGACCCAGACUCCUACGGGAGGGAGCCGUAGUGAAUCUUCGGCAAUGGGGGGCACCCUGACCGAGCAAGGCCGCGUGAGUGAAGAAGGUUUUCGGAUCGUAAAGGUCUGUUGUUAAGGAAGCGGUACUUAGCCAGAAAGGGACGGCUAAAUACGUGCCAGGAGCCGCGGUAAUAC
rnacentral:rRNA from 1 species